UCCUCUCAAUCUCUGAGUCGGCAUCUGAAUCAGAACUUUCACUCUCUUCCUCCUCACUCUCCUCAUCACUCUCAACUGCUCCUUUCCCAUUUCCCUUACCUCCUUUUAACUUGUCUAGCUCCGACAUAACAUCAGCCUGAAUAGCUUCUGGAUCUUUCUCCCUAUCAUUCUUAACACUCAAGAAAUUCCUGCACUGAAAGCUUAGGUGUCCAACACGUCCACAUCUCUUGCACGCACCACGAACCUCAUUGGCAUUGGAACCAGUUAUGCGAGCAAGUGCAAGAAGACCCUGAAAG
rnacentral:misc_RNA from 1 species